AUUUGAUACAAAUAAAUAUUUAUAAGCAAGUGAUAAGUAGGAGCAGAAAAGUAUUUUAUGGUAGUUGCGUUUUUCGAAAAGAGUUUAAAAAGAAACCUUUAAAUGUCGACUACGCCAGUAAAUUUAUUAAAAAAGAUGAAAAUGUUAAAACAUGGGAAGGUAUAAAAGAAAAAAAAGAAAAGCAAAAAAACUUUUCAAAUGAAUAUGAAAAAAAGAAAGAAAAAAAAAAAAUAACUAUCUUAUGUCAAGAAUUAAAUGAUAAUAUUAAAAAAAAGGAUUUUGAUUUAUUUUUAAAAAAUUUAAAUUCUUGUUUAUCUAUAGCACAAAAUCCGAUUGAGCUGUCCCAGGUGAUAAAUGUAAUUAGUAGAUUUAACUAUGAUGAAGCUAUAGCUGGUGUUGGUAUGAUUGGAAAUAACAAUGACAGCAUUACUACUGCGACAAAAACAAUUUACUUCAAAUUAAUUGAUAAAAGCUUGAAUACAUUUAACAUAACACCAGUCCGUAGUAUAAGCUUAAUUUUGAACAGUAUGUUAAAAUUACAUUUUUAUCAUACUGAUUUUAUUAUUUUAUUUUUUAAAAAUAUAAAAAGAAUAAUACAUGAUAGUAACAGCAUUGAUAUUAGUAUACUGUACCACUUUUUUAUUAAUUUAAGUGAAAAUGAUAAUAUAUAUGUACAAAGUAGCGUCAGUAGUAGUAGUAGUAGUAGUAGUGGUAGUAGUAGUAGUAAUAAUAAGGACGCUAUUUUAAACCAUUUUUUGUGUAAAAUAUAUGAGUAUGUUUCUACAUUUGAAAUCCAAAGUAUAUCUUGUAUAAUAAGGUGUAAUAAAAAGAUUGUAAAACAAUUAUGUGUUGAUAAAAUUGUUAGAAAGUAUUUUUGGAGCAAUAUGCCAAUGGAGAUAAACAAUGGUGAUGAUAAAUUUCGUAAUAGUAAUAGCAGUGAAGAUAAGAAUGAGAACAUGUCGAAAAUAAAAAAUAUGUAUAAGAAUUCCAAUUUGGUAAAAAAAGAAAACGUACAAAAAAUAAGUGUUACUAAUAUUGAAAAAGCUGAACAAAUGCAAAAUAACAACAAUAUAUUAAAAACGAACUUAAGUUUAAUAAAAAAAAUAAAUAUGGAAUUAAAAAAUAAUUUUUAUAUAAAAAUGUCAUAUGGUAACAUCCAACAACUGUGUAACGUGCUAGAAGAUAUGGAACAUUUUGAUCUAAUUGAUAAUAAUUGUUAUUAUGAUGUGUUUAGUUUGUUAAAACAACCUAAACAUAUAUAUAAAUUUAAAAGCAUUGAUUAUAUUAAUAUAUUUAAUAUUAUUAAAAAUAAAAAUAAUAAAUGUGAAAAUGUAUUAUUACCUUUGUCUCAUUUUUCGUUUAUUUUUAAUGAACUAAAGGAAAUAAAUUUUGAAUAUUUCACUGAUCAAGAUUUAAGUGAAAUAAUAAAAUUAUUGUAUUAUUUUAAAAAAGUAUAUCAUUUGAAUUUUUGUAUGAACAAGUCAGAAUUUUGUCUAAACAAACGUGAUCUUAAUAAAAUUACAUCGACUACUACUUUAGUAUACAUUCUAUAUGAGCUCGCAUUGAUUAAUAAAACUAAUGACGUUAUCAAUUCGUUAAAGCAAAAGUUAUUUCGUAUUAUAAUUCAGAGGGUAACUAUGCAAAAAUAUAUAUAUUCGGAAGGGUAUCAGCUACAAAGUAACAACAGGUUAGUUGAAACAGAACAGAUAAACACACCCACCAUAGUGACAAGCAAUAAUUGCGUAAGUAAUUCGCUCAAAAACCAACCAAGUGAAAAAGUAAAAUUUUAUGAGCUUCUACCAAUAAGCGAAUCUAUUUUAUUAUUAAAAUGUAUAGAAAUACUAUUAAAUAAAAAAGAAAUAGAUAAAAAAUAUAUACAAGAUAAAAUUUUUUUUUUAAAUAUAUAUAAAGACAUUUUUUCAUUUCCUUUAAAUUUUGAAAAGUAUAAAGAUUAUAUUUUGUAUAAACUUAUAAUAUUAGGUAAGACAGAGUUUGAUGAUUUUGUUAUUUUUUUACACUUGUUAAAAAAUAUAUUAAUAUUAUCUCCCCAAUUCAGUAUUAAAUAUAUUUUAUUAUUUUUAAAAGGAUUAUAUUCAUGCUUUUUUUUCAUCAAUAAAAAUAAUUAUUUAAUUUUUGAACAAACAUUAGAUUAUUUAAGUUUUUUAAUAGUAUGUCAUCAGCAUCAUAUUUUAUUAAAAAAAAAAAAAAAAGUCGAUUUUGAACAAGAUGUUUAUUAUAAGACGUUUAAGCAGCGGGUGGAAAAUGCUUUAUAUGAGCAGGAAUAUGUUCUCGAUUAUGUUAGUAAGGGAAAAGUUAUCGACAAAAAUGCCAACACAUGUAUUGAUAGUAUGGUUGGUAUUAGUAGUGUUAAUAAUGUACAUGUAAUAAAACUGUAUAGAGAAAUUGAAAAUAUAAUAGAAGACAAUUACUGCUUUAUAAAUGAGUUACAAGCUAGAGCAAACGAAACGAUUGAUAGUGCCAUCCGAUUUUCCAACAUUAAUAGAGGUAGGGUCGAGAGUAGUGAUAGCCAAAGCGGAAU
ensembl:lncRNA